rnacentral:rRNA from 1 species
AAGCGCUUAUGACCAGACUUGGGCCCGGUGGAUCAUCCAGCGUUCUCGCUGGUGCACUCCGCCGGGUUCAGGCCAGCAUCAGUUCGCCGCGGGGGAAAAAGGCUUCGGGAACGUGGCUCCUACGGGAGUGUUAUAGCCCGUUGCAUAAUACCCUGGGGCGGACUGAGGUUCGCGCUCCGCAAGGAUGCUGGCGUAAUGGUCAUCAGCGA